GGCGGACGGGUGAGUAAUGUCUGGGAAACUGCCUGAUGGAGGGGGAGUAACUACUGGAAACGGUAGCUAAUACCGCAUAAUGUCGCAAGACCAAAGAGGGGGACCUUCGGGCCUCUUGCCAUCGGAUGUGCCCAGAUGGGAUUAGCUAGUAGGUGGGGUAACGGCUCACCUAGGCGACGAUCCCUAGCUGGUCUGAGAGGAUGACCAGCCACACUGGAACUGAGACACGGUCCAGACUCCUACGGGAGGCAGCAUG
rnacentral:rRNA from 1 species